rnacentral:tRNA from 1 species
CCUGGUGGUGCAAAUGGUUAAGCGCUUGGCUGAUAACCAAAAGGCUGGUGGUUCGAACCCACCCAUCUGCU